rnacentral:tRNA from 1 species
GCCUGGGUGGCUCAGUUGGUUGAGCAUCCGACUUCAGAUCAGGUCGUGAUCUCACGGUUUGUGGGUUCAAGCCCCACGUCGGGCU